rnacentral:rRNA from 1 species
GACGAACGCUGGCGGCGUGCUUAACACAUGCAAGUCGAGCGGAGCGGCGAACGGGUGAGUAACGCGUGAGUAACUGCCCCCCUCUCUGGGAUAACAGUUGGAAACGGCUGCUAAUACCGGAUAGUUGGGGAUGACUCGCGUCCUAUCAGCUUGUUGGUGGGGUAGUGGCCUACCAAGGCGACGACGGGUAGCCGGACUGGGAGGGCGACAGGCCACAUGGGGCUGAGGUACGGCGCAGAGUGGUACGGGAGGCAGCAGGGGGGAAUAUUGCACAAUGGGGGAAACCCUGAGGAAGCGACGCCGGGGGCGGAAUGACGGCCUUGGGGGUGGAAACCGCUUUCAGCCAUGACGCGGUAGUGGCAGAAGAAGCACCGGCUAACUACGUGCCAGCAGCCGCGGUAAUAC